AGCACCUAGCUUGGACAUGGUGAACGUGUGGUGGUAGCUGUUAGUGUCUGGUUCAAGAUACAAAAAACCUAGCUUUCCACACAAUGUAGAACACGAGUGUUUCCACAUGAUUUCCAUGUCAAUGGUAAUAUAAAUAAGGAAGAUAAAAAUCUUCAUGGGUAGUUUUGUUGUGCAAUACCACUAACAGGUAGUUCACGUGCACUGUCAUUUUUUCCCUCACAAUUCUAUGAAGUAAGAAAAUUACUAAGCCAAAUUGAAGUUGAAGAAAUGGACAGAGAUUUCAAAGCUGUUCCAAAGAGAAAGAAUUACCAGGUCAACUAGGCCCCUGGCCUGUCUCUACAAAUGACCUGUAGCUCUGACGAGCCACUUGUCUUCUUGUUCAAGGAGGCCAUGGAGACGACAUUGGAUGGGCCUUUCUAGUCUACAAACAGAAGGAUCAACACCGAAGGAAAAAUGACCUUAGUGCUUCCAAGUGAAGGCAAGGACAAUCAAGGCCUUUGACUUUUUCUCAGAAGAAACUAUCUGGGAGGAACUUCACACUGUCCUUCUAGCCACUCAGUUAACUGAAGUACUUGAUAGCAAAUCCUGAGUUCAUUACACUUUAGUCCAAUCCAAAGACCAAAAGAAAAAUGGAAAACAAGGACCAGACCAAUAGAUGCAUACUCUGGUCUUUCUGGGAACUAAUCAAGGACUUCCUUUCCUCUCUAAACAUGGCUUUAUUGAAAUUACCAAUGCUCGCUUGGGGUUUUUUAAAUAGACCCACUGAAGUGGUCCCCCAACUACUAUGACCAACAACCUCUUUCAGCAAUAAGAAGCCAGAUUGAUCAUUGCCACACUUCCAUAAAGGAUUUGAGUUAGAGGUCUUCUAUAGCAUGAAUAAUGAGAACAGGGGGUAGAAAUUGGCUAAGUAAUUUAAGAUUAAAUAACAACAACAACAACACAAAAA